UUUUAUUUCUCACUUAAACACACACACACACAAAAGAAAAACAGCAACAACAAAAACCAUGAAGGUAAAGUAAUAUCACUUGGCUUUUUGGAAUCUGCAGACUCAAAAUAUUCUUUGCUAUAAUUGCAGAUUAAAUUUUAUGAAAUUUGGUCCAUCCAGAGACACAACUGUAUUUCAUUCAACUUCUGCAUGAUUUUAGGUGGAGUCAAUGAGAUUGAAACUGCAGUCACCUUACCACAUCUGACCUUCCGGAUGACAACUGCCCGGUGAUUUCUAUUGCUACAUUAUAUCCCAACAUUACAUUGCACUUGCUGUUGGAAAACUUCAGGAAAUUAACAGUUUUUGUCUUCAGAAGAGACGGAGGCUGAAAGAUUUGUGAAAUAGUUUUGAAUUUGUCCAUCAGCUAUAAAUGACAGCUGCAUUUCAGAAUUUUCAAGCACCUUUAUGGAAACCCAGUCUACCUUCAAGAUGACUGGAUCCUGUUAACUGGGAGAGCAUAAGAGACUCACACCAGAAGAACAAGAAGAAGAAGAACACAAAAGGAAACCCAUAAAUAGUACCAGUAUACUUGGAAAAAAUCUCCACCUACAAUUACAAAAACAUUUCGGCAACCCAUUCUGUCUUCAGAAAGGUGCUGUCUCCUGUGGAAGCUUCUCCCUGAUGACCAGUUAUACUCCAAGGUCCAAGUCUGCAUGUUGCAUAAUGUGUUUCUAGUUCUUUGGAGAGGUAAUUCUGAUAAAUAUAACUCAAACACUAGUUGAUGCAGGUACCUUCU
rnacentral:lncRNA from 1 species